rnacentral:lncRNA from 10 species
GCUUCCAGGUCACAGGUAGAAACAAAUGGUUGCAUCCUUUUGAGUUUCUGAUUAGCCUCUCCAAAGGAGGCAACAAGAGAUGCGUUUAUCUCAGUGAGCAGAAGGGUGACUUUGAAUAGAGUGGGAGGCAGGUUGGCCCUGAGCAAUUCCCAGCUUGACUUUUCCCUUUAGCUUAGUGAUUUUGGAGCCCCAAGAUUUAUUUUCCUUUCACAGCAUGUGGCGGUUCUUUAUUCUCAUAAAUGAUUUCAAAACAUUAUGCACUUGGGGGAUUUUAUAAUGAAAAAUCGCGGUGUCCUAUUAAAGCACAAAGAGGCAAAGCAGAAGCAGCAGACAGGACGUCAAAGAACCAGUGCAUGGCUGCGCCGGGCCCCGGGGCUUCCCACACGGGUUACUGUCAUCCUUCCGAAUCACUGGACUUGAAGCCCAGCAUGUUGCUGAGUUUUGCUCCAGAGACAAUUGCCAUUUGUUAUUUAAGUGACAAAGGUAACGCAUGCCGGCGGGAAGCAAUGCACAAAAUGUGAAGCUCAUACAGGAAGCUUAUUGGAGCCUCACAUCUGGAAAGCACUACAGACCGCACCGCAGACCGCACGACAGACCGCACCGCAGACCGCUCUACAGACCGGCACAUGCGCAACCCUGCCCGGCUGCUCUCCCUCCCUGCCUGGCUGCUCUCCCUCCCUGCCCAGCUGCUUUCUCUCCCUGCUGUGACCAGGCCAUUUUGGUGCAUUAUCUGUGCUCAGCGCUUUCCUCCUCUAUUUGAUGACUUUUCCAGGCAGUGGGCCUGGGGGUGAAGUCCCCUUGACCUUUGGGCUCCACCCAGGCACCUGGAGCCCCUGGGCUCUUCCCCUGCAGGGAACUGUUAGCAUCCUGCACUUUGCCCUCCUCCCAUCCUGCCCACGGGAGAUGCAGCGUGAACUCCUAGUCCUCAAAAAGGCUUAAAAAUUGCUCUACAUUUUAUGUUUAACGUG